rnacentral:rRNA from 1 species
GACGUAGGGCGCGAGCGUUUGUCCGGAUUUAUUGGGCGUAAAGAGCUCGUAGGCGGCUUGUCACGUCGGGUGUGAAAGCCCGGGGCUUAACCCCGGGUCUGCAUUCGAUACGGGCUAGCUAGAGUGUGGUAGGGGAGAUCGGAAUUCCUGGUGUAGCGGUGAAAUGCGCAGAUAUCAGGAGGAACACCGGUGGCGAAGGCGGAUCUCUGGGCCAUUACUGACGCUGAGGAGCGAAAGCGGUGGGGAGCGAACAGG